UUAAGGAGUAGUGGCAUUCAGCCAAGAGGCUGCUACAGGGAUAUGGGUACUUUUAGAUUUGCCGGGUCUUCUUGGAAGAUCGGCUUUCCAUGUGCUUCUGAUUUGUUUCCAGGGAGGUGGUGGUGUUCGUGUUUGAUGAAGCUGCUGACACCACCAUGCUGACGUCCUGCGAAGUGAAAGUCUGAGUUCAGAGAAGGUGGCUGCUCAGGGCUUCGUCCGCAGUAGUGGCAAAAAGCCAGUGACUCAGAUGGAUGAUGACCUUCACUUACAGCAGCUGGUCAACGACCAAGUUCCUCCCUGGUCAUGGCUGUGCUGGCUGUGACACCUCCAGAGGUGACAAUCCUGGCAGAAUCCUGCACUGGUGCGAGAUGCACAAAGAAUCAAAACAGAAACUGCAGCGAUGUCCUUAAAUGUCACCCGAAAGUCCAAGACCAGGUUUUUUGCCUGGUGUCUUUCACUGGCUGAAAUUAAUUCUUAGGACAACAUCUGCUCCUUAUAAACUCAAGCAAGAGGUGAGGAAACUGAUGCUCAUGAUGGGCCCCGUGCAGCGCGCCACCUCAGCUGGCCCAGUGGCAGAGCUGGAGUGCACUGCCUGUGAAUGACUCCAAAGUCACCACACGCUGAUCUAGGAUGUGAUGUUCUGUCUCCACCACUCAAGGCAAGCUUUGGCCAAACAACCUUCUUUAGAGUGAAGUUUCUGGAUUUCCUAGGAGUUGCAAAAAGUGACCUCCUUGGCACUCUCUGAAAUCAUUCCUUUUUACAUUCUGCUUAAAAUCCACAUUUUUAAGAAAUUCCACAUUGAACUGGCUUAAUUGCAUGCCCUUUCAGGACAAGAGAAGUGGGCGUCAAGUGGUUGCUUUCCCUGUGAAUUUCAGGGUUGGAUAACUUUUCUCACAAGCCCUUCGGGGACUGGCCAGUGCUCAGGAACAGUGUCCAGUGUGUGCUGGGACAGCAGGAGAAGGUGGCCACCUCUCAGGAAAGGAGGGAGAAAAUGACUCACUUGGAAGCUGGCUUGGGGUGGGCCUGCCCUUUUCAUUGCCUGCUACUCCAUCAUUUCGGUCUCCUGGGGCUGCCAUCACAAAGCAGCAAAAAUUAGAAACUUAAAGAA